rnacentral:misc_RNA from 1 species
AAAAAAACCAAUUCCCAAAUCUAAACGCCAUUUUUUCACCAUGGGAGGAGAUUGGCGAUCUCUGCGAAUUCCUUCAUUGAUCUGCGCUAUUUAUCUUCUUCUUACAUUCAACAAUGUCUACUGUUUCUACCUACCCGGUGUUGCGCCUGAAGAUUUCCAAAAGGGAGAUCUUCUGUCUGUGAAAGUGAACAAGCUGACCUCUACAAAGACUCAGCUUCCUUAUUCAUUCUAUUCUGUUCCUUUCUGUCGUCCAGAAAAUAUCAUUGAUAGCAGAGAAAAUCUUGGAGAAGUGCUACGUGGUGAUCGAAUUGAGAACUCCCCUUUUGCGUUUAAAAUGACGGAGCCAGAGAUGUGUCAUGUUGUUUGCAGGCUUGUUCUUGAUGACAAGAAAGCUAAGGAAUUUAAAGAAAAAAUUGAAGACGAAUAUCGUGUGAACAUGAUACUAGAUAAUCUGCCUUUAGUUGUUCCAGUUCGGAGGUUAGAGCAAGAAGCCCCUCCUGCCUAUCAGCAGGGAGUUUAUAUUGGUGUAAAGGGACAAUAUGCUGGAAGCAAG